rnacentral:tRNA from 1 species
UGGGAUAUAGCUCCGUGGUAAAGCUUUGCCUAGCAUGUGCAAGGUCCUGGGUUCAAUCCCCAGUACCACAA